rnacentral:rRNA from 1 species
GACGAACGCUGGCGGCGUGCUUAACACAUGCAAGUCGACGACGCUACUGAGUAGCAAUCUUUAGUAGUGGAGUGGCGCAAGGGUGAGUAAUGUAUACGUAACCAACCCAUCGGCGACGGAUAACAUUUCGAAAGGGAUGCUAAAACGGCAUGAAGCCACGAUUUCGCAUGAGAUUGUGGUUAAAGAACCGGUAACAGGUUGCCGAUGGCUGGGCGUAUAUCCGAUUAGCUAGUUGGUAGUGUAAUGGACUACCAAGGCGACGAUCGGUAGCUGGUCUGAGAGGAUGAUCAGCCACACGGGCACUGAGACACGGGCCAGACUCCUACGGGAGGCAGCAGUGGGGAAUAGUGGGCAAUGCCCGCAAGGGUGACCCAGCAACGCCGCGUGGAGGAUGAAGGCCGUAAGGGUGUAAACUCUGACAAGCAGGGAAGAACGGCUAUGGUAAAAGGCCAUAGAAUGACGGUACCUGCCUGAAGCCCCGGCUAACUACGUG